rnacentral:rRNA from 1 species
CAGCCGCCGCGGGAAUACGAAGGGUGCAAGCGUUAAUCGGAAUUACUGGGCGUAAAGCGUGCGUAGGCGGUGAGUUAAGUCUGCUGUGAAAUCCCCGGGCUCAACCUGGGAAUGGCAGUGGAUACUGGCUCGCUAGAGUGUGUCAGAGGAUGGUGGAAUUCCCGGUGUAGCGGUGAAAUGCGUAGAGAUCGGGAGGAACAUCAGUGGCGAAGGCGGCCAUCUGGGACAACACUGAUGCUGAGGCACGAAAGCGUGGGGAGCAAACAGGAUUAGAUACCCCUGUAGUCCCUGUCUCUUAUAA